GACGAACGCUGGCGGCGUGCCUAAUACAUGCAAGUCGAACGCAGUGGGGACGGGUGAGUAACACGUGGGUAACCUCCCAUCAGAGGGGAUAACACUUGGAAACAGGUGCUAAACCGAUACUGAUGGAUGGACCCGCGGUGCAUUAGCUAGUUGGUGAGGUAACGGCUAACCAAGGCCACGAUGCAUAGCGGAACUAAGAGGGGGAUGUGCAACACUGGGAUUUGGACACGGCCCAUACUCAGACGGGAGGCAGCAGUAGGGAAUCUUAGGCAAGGGACGAAAGUCUGACCGAGCAACGCCGCGUGAGUGAAGAAGGUGUUCGGAUCGUAAAACUCUGUUGUUAGAGAAGCGGUAUCUAACCAGAAAGCCACGGAUAACUACGUGCCAGCAGCCGCGGUAAUUC
rnacentral:rRNA from 1 species